CCUACGGGAGGCAGCAGUGGGGGAUAUUGCACAAUGGGGGGAACCCUGAUGCAGCGACGCCGCGUGGGUGAAGAAGCGCCUCGGCGCGUAAAGCCCUGUCAGCAGGGAAGAAAAUGACGGUACCUGAAGAAGAAGCCCCGGCUAACUACGUGCCAGCAGCCGCGGUAAUACGUAGGGGGCAAGAGUUAUCCGGAUUUACUGGGUGGAAAGGGGGCGCAGACGGCGAUGCAAGCCAGGAGUGAAAGCCCGGGGCCCAACCCCGGGACUGCUCUUGGAACUGCGGGGCUGGAGUGCAGGAGGGGCAGGCGGAAUUCCUGGUGUAGCGGUGAAAUGCGUAGAUAUCAGGAGGAACACCGGUGGCGAAGGCGGCCUGCUGGACUGCAACUGACGUUGAGGCCCGAAAGCGUGGGGAGCAAACAGGAUUAGAUACCCUAGUAGUC
rnacentral:rRNA from 1 species